GGGGAUGUAGCUCAAUUGGUAGAGCACUAAUCAAUGCAGAAUAGAGGCAAGGGGUUCGAUUCCUCGCAUAUCCA
rfam:Triticum aestivum genome assembly, contig: Triticum_aestivum_CS42_TGACv1_scaffold_131146_2BL